CUACGGGAUGCUGCAGUGGGGAAUCUUGCACAAUGGAGGAAACUCUGAUGCAGCGAUGCCGCGUGAGUGAAGAAGGCCCUUGGGUUGUAAAGCUCUUUUGUCGGGAAAGAUAAUGACUGUACCCGAAGAAUAAGGUCCGGCUAACUUCGUGCCAGCAGCCGCGGUAAUACGAAGGGACCUAGCGUAAUUCGGAAUUACUGGGCGUAAAGCGCGCGUAGGCGGUUAAGUAAGUUAAUUGUGAAAGCCCAAAGCUCAACUUUGGAAUUGCAAUUAAAACUACUUAGCUAGAGUUUAUCAGAGGAAAGCGGAAUACAUAGUGUAGAGGUGAAAUUCGUAGAUAUUAUGUAGAACACCAGUUGCGAAGGCGGCUUUCUGGGAUAACACUGACGCUGAGGUGCGAAAGUAUGGGUAGCGAAGAGGAUUAGAUACCCUAGUAGUC
rnacentral:rRNA from 1 species